CUGUGUGUCUGUACGGUCUGGCUUAUCGCCGGGCGUGCACUCCCACCCUUGUCUACUUACCUGUUGCUUUGGCGGACCUGCGGGUGCUUGCACUUGCUGCCGGGAAGACGGUCUCGUCUCCGGGCUCGUGUCCGCCGAAGAUCACUGAACUCCGAUCGAAGAUUGAAGUCUGAAGAACAAAGAUUAAUAAAUCA
rnacentral:misc_RNA from 1 species